UGGGCCUUGAGAGCUGCCCUUUGGUUCCCAGAGAGCUGCAGCCGGUCUGAAGUCAGGGUUGCUAAGGAAACGCUGUCUGCUUGUGGAUGGCAGAGCAAACAGACACCUAAGCCUCGGGUAAAUCAUUAAUUCAUUGAUAUUCUCACUGAUGGCAUCUGGAGAGACAGACGUAUUCCUUCUUUCUUCCAAGUCCUCAAAAGUGCUCUUUCAUCGCCAGGUAAACACUUGGACGACCACUUUGUGGAUAAUCAUUCCCUCCUGGGCUCACACUCCAGAGACCAUGAAGGGCUCCCUCCCGGAUUUUAAUGGAUCAAAGAAAAUGCUCUGAAGUGUGUCCGUGAUCACUGCAAGUGGCCCCCUCCUCUGAUGACAAGCCUGGAGUAGCACUGAGGACCGAGAGCUUUCUAGUGAUGGAAACACCCGGAGCUGUGUGACCUCUAACACCUGCUCAACCUCUCUGUGCCUGGUUUCCUCCUCCACGCAUUCACAGAACCUACCUUGAAGGGCUGCUGAGAGCACCACCUUGGUUUUGGGUGCACCGCUGGUAUUAAUAGCGACGGAAGCAGAGAGUGGUGGAGAGACUACAGUGUGGCGGCAACUCAUUCACCUUCUGUCCACUCCAGAUCUGGCACCUUCCAAGCCCCACAGAACCCUAGACAAGGCCUCUGGUCUCGUCUGGUCCACCUCUUCAUGUAGGCCCAGCAGGACAAAUCAUUUCCACCGGACCCCUCUCCUCCAGGGGAGCUUGCUCAGAGAUGUGGGACGCAGUGCAGUGCCAACCAGGGGGGAACAUAGUGAGUGUUUGUUGAUUGACUAAUUUCAGCCCUUCAGGAAGGCGCUCCUAUGAAGGGAGGUGGGUGAAACCAUGGCUGUGUGGCAGUGAAGCCAGAGGGAUGUGACAGCAGAAGCCACUGGACAGUCAGCUCUGACACAGGAGAAGGGGCAGGGAGCUUCCUGAAAGAGGGGGCUUUUGAGGUGGGUUUAAAGAAUGGAAGGAGGCCCAAGAAGCCCGGGGCAAACCCUUUGAGGUGUGGGGCUCUGAGGGUCAGGUCAGGGCUGCAGGACAGCGGCAGGAAAGAGCUGGAGGCUCCCUACCCUGCAGCUGGCCCUUGCGGGUCUGGCAGGCAGGUGGGCGAGGAGAAACCUCGAGAUCUGAUCCUGCGUCUCCGAGGAAAUCCCCAGAAGGGGGACCGUGGGUGGCCUGUGCGGCUAGCUGGGCACUUUGCAUUUGUAGCAGCCACACAGCUCUGAGGAGACGAGAACAUGGGGCCUACUUACUUGUGUGCACUCUCCGGGACUGAAAUAGGUGGGGGGGAAGCCACCAGAGGGCCGCCCACCCGCCCUUAGAGAGGCAGAGACAGCCCCCGGCAGCAUUCUGGGUUUCAGAGAGUCAGGCAGGACCCGGAACUGACAUCCUCUGGUGGCCUUCACCCCUCUCAGUCCUGCGCCUCCCUCAGCCACAUGCAGUGAACAGGCUGGAGCAGCACCAGGUGCCAGGGCCACCAGGAGGCACAAGGGACAAUGGCCCGGGGAUUCUGAUUCCUGUGGGAUGCUGUCCCCUAGAACAGGGUCAGCCAUGUGGCCUGUCCAUCCCUGGGCAAGGCAAAGGCCUGGAAGGCACAACUGGGCCACCCCCACUGCUUGCUCUGAGAGACGGCAAUGGCCAAGUGCAGAUCCUCAGGCCCGUCCCCCAGGGCUCCAACCGGAAGGGCCAGGGUGGGGCUCAGAGCUUCCGCCAACACUGCUGGGGCGGAGUUCUGGAGCAGGUGGUCUGCAGAUGCAGGGCCUUGGUCCAGGGUCAGUGCUGGAAGACAAGGCUGGGUGGGGCUGGGCCACCAUAUUUAGGGGUGGAGGUCACUUGACUGGGACAACGCAGGAACACAGGAGUUUGUGGUAUGGGCCUUGUGGCUGCCCCUCUCUGCUCUGCAAAGUCCAUCAUUGGGAAGAAUAGAGUCCCCCAUUCGCUGGGUGACUCCUAGGCCCUUCAGUGAACCCAGACCUGGCGCCUUCUCAAGCUAUAGACAUUUCAGAACUGUCACCCCUUCCUCCCAUCCCAGAAGGCCUUGAGGACCCAUGUGUGCGGAGGUGCCGUGACCCCCUCCCCUUGAGAUGCUUGUUGCUUUGGCUUAUGGUUUUAUUUAAGAUAGUCCAGUGUCCUCUUCAUAAAAGGAACAGAUUCCAAGCAGGGUUAUGAUUUUGAGCAGCAAACCCCCCUGCAUGGGAGACCUGUGUUUUCUCAGGCUCAUCCGCGUGCCCAUGGGGGUCUGAGAAAGUCCCUGGGUGUGUGCGUGACUCAGAGGCAGGUGGUCAGCGGAGGAAAUGACACCAGGCCUCUGCACGGGGUCUCCGCAUUCCAGUCCGUGUUCCCACGGUGCCCUGCGUCGUCAACAGCUCCCAAACAGGCCCUCUCCACGGGGAACCCGCCCUCCAGGACAGGCACGGGCUCGUUGCACGUCAGGAGGCUGAGCUCUAACUGACAAAUUGGAGAGGUUCCCCAAGGCAAGGGUUACUGAGCUCUGUCAUUCUCACUAAAAAUGUGAUUUAUAAUAUAUUCCUAUUUGCCAGACACUCCUUUCCCCAGGAAUGAACACUUAACACAGAAAUGGGAGGCUAUCCCAAGGCCUGAGCCCACAGGCGAACACACCCCUCCAAGUGUUCACUGCAAAUGAGCAGACGUGCCCAGGCCCCUGGGCAGCAUGGCUACGCACGCUUCAUUUCGAUAAGUCUUCGUAUCUUAAGCAAACACUUAAAAUUCAGGACAGGGCGAGGGUGGCCCAUGAUUGAUUUUUAGAAUUUCACAUUCUAAAGGAAAGAUCUAAGGGUCUGAUGAAGGAGGUCAUAUUGGAUCUCGGGGUGUAGCUCAGUGGGGCCUCCGGCUUAGCGUGCACAAGGCCCCGGGUUCCAUUCUCAGCAAAAAAAAAAAAAAAAAAGAAAAUGUAUUUCCUAACAUUCCUUAGAGUUUAUAAAAGGAAAACAGUUUUUCUUGCUCCUUCAAUCAUCUGAUAUUUCUGAAUGCGGCAUGGGUCAGAUAUUGAAGAGCAAGCUGCGCCUUCGGACGGGCUUCCUGAGACCCUUUGUAAAAAAAACACACAAAAGCAGCUAAAGCCGUCUGACUUCUCUUAGGAGUCUGGGUUAAAGUUGCAAACUCAUUUUGCCGGAGAUAACCAGAAAUCCUCUAAGCGGUCUAAGUGGGCAGGACCGGAUUUGAUCUCUGCAUCUGAUUGCCUAGCAGAAGUCAAGCAGCCAAUGUCUCAACAAUGUCUCCAUAUCAUGAAACUUCCUAAAAAUCUUCAAGGGAGUAACCUGAGCUCCUGAAAAAUGAUCUCGAAUGUCAACAGGACAAAGCUUCCCAGGCCUCCCUAUUUGACUCGACAGGAAUCUUGUUUCUCUGUGUGCUCUGGAGGGCUUCUGUCUUUGUUAAGAGGAAUGAUUAAAAGAAUUUACAUAUAGUAAUCAUUUAAAAUUGACUUCACUCAAUAGGAGCUAUUCAUUUUACUGUUGUGUGUGUGUGUGUGUGUGUGUGUGUAGAUACCUGUUUUUCUAGGCAAUACACAGCUUUUAUUUCAUUGUGUGCAUAAACCCUGACCCAGGACACUCCGGCCACGGAGCGCGGGACUGACAUCCAGCGUCCACAGCCUGAUGUGCAGGUGGUCAGAUGCGGUCUGGAGUUCUGUGCCGCUUGGCCAGAGAAACACGGAUAAAUGCGGUGUCGCCUAACAGGGGCUCUGGAGACGUCCCUGAACACUGGCGGAGCAGCAAGACGAGACUCUUUGUUGUGUGCGCCGUACGUCCCCAGCUUCCUCUCACCACUAGGUGGCGGUGGCCGCCUCCCUCCUCCAGGUGUGCUGCGGAAAGGUCCCCAGACCUGCCUGGCUGCCCCGCGGGGCAGGGCGUCGGCUAGAACCGAGGCAGGCGCUCAGCUGACCCGACGGGGCUUUCCGGGACGGCGAGGGCGGUUCGCAGGCCCCACUUGAAAAGCCACGGUCAUUCGAAGGCGGAACUAGCACAGACGGGGCAACACUGUGACACCGGGUGUGACCUGCGGCGCGGCCCCUCCUGGAAGGACUGUGGCGCGCGGCCCACGUGCAGACGGGCGCCUUCCUCCCACAUCCCACAGGUGGUCCUCCGAGUUCUCUGAGCGUGUGCCCCUGCAAAGUAGGAUGUCGCGGACCUGCUGCGAGGGUCGGGGGCGGCCAGGACCGAAGCACAGGCCACUGCCGCACCCUCUCCCGCUGCUGGAUUGACACCAGGGUCUCCCCGCGGAUGCCUGGACCAGGCCAGGACCCAGCGUCCUUGCACAGUGCUCCCCCGAGGACCCUGGGGCGAACUUGGGGAGCUGAGCCCCUGCCCAGGCUCCCCGGCACUUAGUCCUGGGCGGUAAGACCCCCAGCCUGCCCACCUGAACCUGCCCCCAGCCCGCCCCCAUUCAGCUUGCCCCCUGAGCCUGACCCUUAAGGCUGUCCUCCGACCCACCUGUCCCCUAAACCUGCCCCCACCAAGCCUGCUCCCCCCCACCAAGCCUGCCCCCUUGCCUGCGGGGCCUCCCCACCCGCGCCGCGCGCCCACCCCGGGCCUGCCGGCCUGAGCCGCUUCGUCUGCGGAAGCGCUUCCCGGGGCGGCCGCCAGGUGGCACCCUGUGGCCUCGGGUGGCGGCUUGCUGGACCCCAACAGCCAGCGGUAGCUUUUUCAGACAGACAUUGUCUCCGGCUUCCUCCCCCUUUGUCACAGUGUACUGCCAAGGUGUUCACGGCACAGUGCUGUGGCUCCCGCAUUGGGAACACCUAGGACUCGUGGAAAUGAUCAACCAUGAGCGCCCAGAGGGAGCAGGACCGGCCGCAGGGGUCUCCCGGCCCCCUGUGUCUGGCCCAUGGUGCCAUCUCUCCCUGCCCACCAUAAGGACAUGCUGGGCACACCUGCCUGGGUUUGUCUCACCUUCUAGAUGGUGAGGGAUGAUUAUUUCCCACGUGUUUGUUCCCUACACUGACGUCUUUGAAGGGGAUUUUAUUUUUUAAAAUUAUAGGUAACUGACAAAGAAACAUUCAAAACCAAUAAUAGCUCUAAACACAAAAGUCAGAAAGCAAGCCCAGCCCCGGCACAUGCCUGUGAGCCCAGCGACUCCGAGGCUGAGGCAGGAGGAUCACAAAUUCACAAGUUCAGCCUGGGCAACUUAGCAAGACCCUGUCUCAAAAUUUAAAACACCAGAAAAGAGCUGAGGAUGUGGCUCAGUGGUCGAGCAGCUCUGGGUUCAAUCCCGAGUACUGCUAAUACCAACAUUAGAAAGCAAGGAGGCAAGUGUCAAGACUGGCCCUGUCAACUUGCAUUGUGAUGGAAGCUUUGGUGGCCACAGAAAGUGGGUGGAAAGCCUCCCAGAUGCAAAGCAAGGGGUGUGUCCUGACUUAGAGGUGGACACAAUAGACACCUGUGUGAGCAGAGCCCUCUGGCUGCAGAGGUCAACCAGGGAUUCCUGCAGCCCGGUACAUCAUAAGAGCUGCUCUAAGCCCCUGGUCUUGCUUCCUGACGCCUCAGGUCAUGUGCAAACACCUCCUCUCCCAGGACCCUAAGUAAAAAUUUUAAAAAAGAAAGAAAAAGGCCAAACCAUCAAUUACUUCACAUUUUUGUUCUGUGUUGGUAGGGUUGUGUGUGGCAUUGAAAACAAAACAAAAACAGGGCUGGGGAUGUGGCUCAAGCGGUAGCGCGCUCGCCUGGCAUGCGUGCGGCCCGGGUUCGAUCCUCAGCACCACAUACAAACAAAGAUGUUGUGUCCGCCAAGAACUAAAAAAUAAAUAUUAAAAAUUCUCUCUCUC